ACCUUUUGUGGUGUGUAGUUGGUAGCACCUUGACUUAGUAAUUAUAAGUCCUAGGUUCGAGUCCUGGUUGGGGUA